rnacentral:rRNA from 1 species
CCUACGGGAGGCAGCAGUAGGGAUCUUCCGCAAUGGACGAAAGUCUGACGGAGCAACGCCGCGUGAGCGAUGAAGGCCUUCGGGUCGUAAGCUCUGUUGUCAGGGAAGAACAAGUACCGGAGUAACUGCCGGUACCUUGACGGUACCUGACCAGAAAGCCACGGCUAACUACGUGCCAGCAGCCGCGGUAAUACGUAGGUGGCAAGCGUUGUCCGGAAUUAUUGGGCGUAAAGCGCGCGCAGGCGGUUCCUUAAGUCUGAUGUGAAAGCCCCCGGCUCAACCGGGGAGGGUCAUUGGAAACUGGGGAACUUGAGUGCAGAAGAGGAGAGCGGAAUUCCACGUGUAGCGGUGAAAUGCGUAGAGAUGUGGAGGAACACCAGUGGCGAAGGCGGCUUUCUGGUCUGUAACUGACGCUGAGGCGCGAAAGCGUGGGGAGCAAACAGGAUUAGAUACCCUGGUAGUCCACGCCGUAAACGAUGAGUGCUAAGUGUUAGGGGGGUUUCCGCCCCUUAGUGCUGCAGCUAACGCAUUAAGCACUCCGCCUGGGGAGUACGGCCGCAAGGCUGAAACUCAAAGGAAUUGACGG